AAAGGAGUCACGUACUGAGCAAACGCAAUGCUAAUGUCAAACAUUAACGUAAAAAUUUAAUGUAAUUCAACGAAUACGAUCUAAAAGUCGUGUUUUAACGAAUACGAUAAUAGCUUUAACAGGUGGGUGCCAAGUUUCAAGUCAAUCGGAUGCACGGUUCAGUGGUUAUAACGGAACAUCCGUAAAAACCACUUUAGAUUUAUAUAUAUUAGUAUAGAUGUACAGAUAAGAGCGGUACCUAAUGAAUCCACGGUACAGCAUGAACGCGCCGUACAGACUGAGCACCAGGGUGGCCGUCCACACCACGGCCAGCACUGAACUGCUCCCCUCUGUAGAACAUCAUGGAGCAUAUUAUUUCCCUCGGUUCGUCCGAGUCGUAGACACAAACAAAACUUUUUUAUUUGUCGAUUAAAAAUUUGAAUACUAUUUUAAUGAUUUUAUGAUGAACUGCCAUCGAAACGUCGCUAAUUAUAUAAUGACAAUAAUAAACGUCCGAUGAAACUA